UGGGGAAUUUUGGACAAUGGGCGAAANCCUGAUCCAGCAAUGCCGCGUGUGUGAAGAAGGCCUUCGGGUUGUAAAGCACUUUUGUCCGGAAAGAAAUCCUUGGCUCUAAUACAGUCGGGGGAUGACGGUACCGGAAGAAUAAGCACCGGCUAACUACGUGCCAGCAGCCGCGGUAAUACGUAGGGUGCAAGCGUUAAUCGGAAUUACUGGGGCGUAAAGCGUGCGCAGGCGGUUUGCUAAGACCGAUGUGAAAUCCCCGGGCUCAACCUGGGAACUGCAUUGGUGACUGGCAGGCUAGAGUAUGGCAGAGGGGGGUAGAAUUCCACGUGUAGCAGUGAAAUGCGUAGAGAUGUGGAGGAAUACCGAUGGCGAAGGCAGCCCCCUGGGCCAAUACUGACGCUCAUGCACGAAAGCGUGGGGAGCAAACAGGAUUAGUACCCUGGUAGUCCACGCCCUAAAACCGAUGUCAACUAGUUGUUGGGGAUUCAUUUCCUUAGUAACGUAGCUAACGCGUGAAGUUGACCGCCUGGGGAGUACGGUCGCAAGAUU
rnacentral:rRNA from 1 species